UGCAAUUUAUGAUGCAAACUUUAACCCUUUCUGAUAAUCUUGUGAUUGUUCAGUUAAUUAUCACCAUCUUUCGGCUGAGAUUGUG